rnacentral:rRNA from 1 species
CAGCAGCCGCGGUAAUACAGAGGUGCCAAGCGUUAGGCGGAAUCACUGGGCUUAAAGCGUGUGUAGGUGGACGGGUAAGUACCUUGUGAAAUCCCCCGGCUCAACCGGGGAACUGCUUGGUAUACUGCUGGUCUUGAGCAACCUAGGGGCGAGCGGAACAAAUGGUGGAGCGGUGAAAUGCGUAGAUAUCAUUUGGAACGCCAAUGGUGAAAACAGCUCGCUGGGGGUUUGCUGACACUGAGACACGAAAGCCAGGGGAGCAAACGGGAUUAGAUACCCCGGUAGUCCUGGCCAUAAACGAUGUCGACUAGAUCGUAGUGCCUCUGACGGUAUUACGGUCGAAGCCAAAGUGCUAAGUCGACCGCCUGGGAAGUACGGUCGCAAGGCUAAAACUCAAAGGAAUUGACGG